CCAGUGGGGGCAUUGCACCAGUACAGGCGAGUGAAGCGGCAAAAGCUCAAUUUUGAAAUCCCCCCGGGGAGUUGUAAUUUGAAGACUAGGGGAUUUGGCCCAAACCUGCGCAAGUCCAUUGGAACAUGGCGCCCAAGAGGGUGAGAGCCCCGCCGCGCAGCCCGCACCCUUGACAUCCCCCCGUCAAAGAGUCGAGUUGUUUGGGAAUGCAGCUCAAAGUGGGUGGUAAAUUCCAUCUAAAGCUAAAUAUUGGCGAGAGACCGAUAGCGAACAAGUACAGUGAUGGAAAGAUGAAAAGCACUUUGAAAAGAGAGUGAAACAGUACGUGAAAUUGUUGAAAGGGAAGGGCUUGCAAGCAGACACGAGUUCGCUCGGGCCAGCAUCAAUUUCGCGAGGUGGACAACACGCCAGGAAUGUGGCAGGCUCCGGCCUGUGUUAUAGCCUGCGCGCCAUACACCUCCGCGAGAUUGAGGCCUGCUCCAAAAGGAUGCUGGCGUAAUGGUUGCAAGUCGCCCGUCUGAAAACCCGGAACCAAUAAAUUUUG
rnacentral:rRNA from 1 species